UACGGGGGGGGCAAGCGGUUGUUCGGAAUUACUGGGCGUAAAGGGCUCGUAGGCGGCCAACUAAGUCGGAUGUGAAAUCCCCAGGCUUAACCUGGGAACUGCAUCCGAUACUGGAUGGCUUGAAUCCGGGAGAGGGAUGCAGAAUUCCAGGUGUAGCGGUGAAAUGCGUAGAUAUCUGGAGGAACACCGGUGGCGAAGGCGGCAUCCUGGGAUAACACUGACGCUCAUGCACGAAAGCGUGGGGAGCAAACGAGGAU
rnacentral:rRNA from 1 species